UUUGAAAAACGUUGAAAAAAAAUGACUUUAUUCAACAAUUCGUCUCCUCCCUGUCACCCUGGUGCCAUGUUGGAGAAUA